rnacentral:lncRNA from 10 species
UUUUAUUUUUAUAUUAUUUAUUUAUUCUUCCUUAGUUUCUUGAGAUUAUCAUCCGCUGAGGGUGGAAGGGGAGUGAGCAGACACACUCAGGAGGUGUCUUGAGAUUAUCAUCCGCUGAGGGUGGAGCUGAGGGUGGAAGGGGAGUGAGCAGACACUCGGGAGGUGUCUUGAGAUUAUCAUCCGCUGAGGGUAGAGCUGAGGGUGGAAGGGGAGUGAGCAGACACUCGGGAGGUGUCUUGAGAUUAUCAUCCGCUGAGGGUGGAAGGGGAUAGAGCACACACUCGGAAGGUGUCUUGAGAUUAUCAUCCGCUGAGGGUGGAAGGGGAUAGAGCAGGCACUCGGCAGGUGUCUUGAGAUUAUCAUCCGCUGAGGGUAGAGCUGAGGGUGGAAGGGGAGUGAGCAGACACUCGGGAGGUGUCUUGAGGCUCAGGGAGUUAUCAAUUAUAGAAUGUUGUUGAGUUGGAGGAGGUGGCUGGUGGCCCAUCCUGUUUUUUAAAGUUUCAGCUGUGAGGU